rnacentral:rRNA from 1 species
AUCAACUUUCGAUGGUAGGAUAGAGGCCUACCAUGGUGGUAACGGGUAACGGGGUGUUAGGGCACGACACCGGAGAGGGAGCCUGAGAAACGGCUACCACAUCCAAGGAUGGCAGCAGGCGCGCAAAUUACCCAAUCCCGACACGGGGAGGUAGUGACAAUAAAUAACAAUACGGGGUUCUUUCGGAUCUCGUAAUUGGAAUGAGUACAAUUUAAAUCUCUUAACGAGGAACAAUUGGAGGGCAAGUCUGGUGCCAGCAGCCGCGGUAAUUCCAGCUCCAAUAGCGUAUAUUAAAGUUGUUGCAGUUAAAAAGCUCGUAGUUGAAUUUCGGGGUUAGUAGGUUGGUCAUGCCUCUGGUAUGUACUGGUCUCACUGAUUCCUCCUUCCUUAUGAACCGUAAUGCCAUUAAUUUGGUGUUGCGGGGAAUUUGGACUGUUACUUUGAAAAAAUUAGAGUGUUUAAAGCAGGCUAACGCUUGAAUACAUUAGCAUGGAAUAAUGAAAUAGGACGUUCGAUCUUAUUUUGUUGGUUUCUAGGAUUGACGUAAUGAUUAAUAGGGAUAGUUGGGGGCAUUAGUAUUCAAUUGUCAGAGGUGAAAUUCUUGGAUUUAUUGAAGACUAACUACUGCGAAAGCAUUUGCCAAGGAUGUUUUCAUUAAUCAAGAACGAAAGUUAGGGGAUCGAAGACGAUCAGAUACCGUCGUAGUCUUAACCAUAAACUAUGCCGACUAGGGAUCGGAUGAUGUUAAUUUUUUAAUGACUCAUUCGCCGCCUUACGGGAAACCAAAGUGUUUGGGUUC